rnacentral:lncRNA from 1 species
AGUUCACCCAACCUGCCCACUAAAGGAAGAAGCAAAGAAGUCUAAGUUCUUUGGAGUAAGAUGCUCUCAAAUGCCUAGGAACACUGAUCUCCUAACUUGUCUUCCUGCUUUGAGUGUCCCUCUGAGGUUAAAGUUCCUGCCUCAGUCUCCAACAAUGACUAUAAGCCUCUCUGGGCAAGAUCCACGUCUUACUCAUUUUUGUGUCUGCAGUUUAGUUCCUGGUUCAUUGUAGGUUCUCAAUAAACGUUUGUUAGAAUGAGUUGAUCUCUUGGAUCCAGUGCCCCAGAAAGAUAUGUAAGUACUAUUUUUAUCCUUUCCCAUUGUGUGUCCACCUUCUCUCCAAUCCUAGAUCACCAAAAGUGAAGCAGAAGUGAUGAGAGUAGCAAUUUGUAGUAUCAAAACGACUUCUUAUAGUGCACAGAAAGCCCAGCACUGUCUCGUAUGGGAGACUCGUGGUUCUGCCACUGUCUUGCUGGGUGACCUGAGAUAACUUCUUUUCUCUCUGGGUCUGAUUCCUCACAGGUCAUUUCCACUGCUGCCCACUGAGGAGUGCCACUGGAGAUGAUCUCACAACAAAGAGAGGGGGAGAGGUCCCUGGCCCUCCCCUUUCCUCUGUGCUCUCAGCAGCUGACCUUGUCUUUUCCUUUACUGAGAGUAGAGGCACCUCUUACAAAUACUCUGGCCUCUGCCUGGACUGACUGGGCUAAAUUGUCUCCGAAGAUGGCCACCAACCAUUCCUCCCACCUGUCUGCAUGCAGGCUGCUCCUCCCGUCAGAAGAUGGAGACUGCUUCCUUGCCCUUCAAUCCAAGCUGGCUCAUGACUUGCUUCAAUGAAUAGGAAAUGGCAGAAGUGAUGCUCUGAGGCUUCUGGGCCUAGACUUUAAGAGGUGUUGCCCCUUUCCUUUUUCCCUCUUGGGAUCCAGCCUACCACAUAGAGAAGUUUGGGUUGACAACUAAAUGUGAGAGAGAGACAGACAGAGAGAAGAGGGAGAGCUGAUUCAGCUAGACCUUAGUCAUUCCAGCCAUCCUAGCUGAAGCACUAGCAUGUGAAAGAAGCCACCUUCUAACCUAUCAAUCAGAGCCCCCAAUUUUACUGACCUCAGUCAACACCAUGUGGAACAGAACUACCCCAGGGAGCCCAACCAACCCAUACAAUCAUGAGAAAUUAAAAACUGAUGUUGUAGCCUCCUGAGUUUUAAGGUAGUUUGUUACACAAAAAUACUGGAAUUUUGACCCACCUUCACCUCCAAUGCCAACCUAGUAAACCUGGAUAUAUCUUUCAAAAUUUGGCUCAAGUGUCAACUCUUUCAUGAACCCUCUGUAUCCUUUUCUUGCUCAUUCAAGCCCUAUUUUCUCUUCUCCUCCCCAAAAUUCCAUAGUACUUUGUAUUACAAACUAUGUGCUUACAACCCCCAAAGUCUCUGGGCAUCCAGAAGGCAGAGAUUUGGCUUAAUUCAUUUUUGCCUCUGCCUAGCCUAACACCCGGCACAUUUAGAUAUUUAGUUAUUGUUUGCUGAAUGAAUGGAUGCAUGAAGAAGAAAAUUUAACAGAUGAUAUCUACAGGCACAUCUGGCUCCAAAAUUGAAUCAUGUCAUCUAGCAAUGCUCAGUAAAGUUAACAUAAGCAAUUUC